UACGGAGGGGGCUAGCGUUGUUCGGAAUUACUGGGCGUAAAGCGCGCGUAGGCGGACCUGCAAGUCGGGGGUGAAAGCCCGAGGCUCAACCUCGGAACUGCCUUCGAUACUGCGGGUCUCGAGUCCGGGAGAGGUGAGUGGAAUUCCUAGUGUAGAGGUGAAAUUCGUAGAUAUUAGGAAGAACACCAGUGGCGAAGGCGGCUCACUGGCCCGGUACUGACGCUGAGGCGCGAAAGCGUGGGGAGCAAACAGGAUUAGAAACCCUGAG
rnacentral:rRNA from 1 species